rnacentral:misc_RNA from 1 species
CCACGCCGAUCUCUGCGCAGGGACCGCCUCUCUCCUGUAAUCCUUUUCCAUAGUCUUUCUCGCGGUGUGCGCGCACUCUCGCAUGCCGCACGCCUCCUCGCUCUCUGCCCGAAAGCCGUCUUUGCGCGUGCACACCCACGAAGUCAUCGGACGAGCCUUUCCUUGUUUUCUGCCUUGUCCUCAUUCUUAGCGGAUACGUGGCGCGCCAUCGCUGCACGAGCCGCUGCAGCCAGCUGUCUGGCGAGCCACUCCGCCAUCCUUCACUUACCGAGUAGCGCGUUAUGCCCUACCACUGCCAUCCGCGCACUUCACAUAUCCGUCGGCUCCGCCAUCUUCAAGGCAGCUCGCACGGCAGAAUGUAGGCCGCGACUGCCGCCCCUGCAGUGCCGAGGCAGCUAAUGGAGCGCGACAAGGUUGAUGCCACAGCUGGCGGACUCAUGCGCGUCAACACAGGCGUCUUUCAGGCCUGCGCUGAUGCGCUUGAAAAGCGGUACGAGGCUGAGGUUGAAGCAUCUCGGCACGUCGACGGUGCCGACGCCGUGCGUGUACAUCUACAAGGGCGGCGUGCACGAUGCUACCGAGCUCCGCAACCCUCACCCGGGCGGCGCUCAGAUCACGCGGGACCACCACGGCAAGGGCGUCCACGCAGGUGUUCCACGACGAGUGUGACCUCCAUGCUUACACAAAGAGCGCACUGAACAUGCUGCCGCGAUACCGUGCCAGCUCCAUGCUCGGUCCGCUCGGCGAGUACGAGAAGCACCAGCGCGAGAUGGCCUACAAGGACUUCACCAUCCGCCGCGAUCGCGGGCUGGUGGGGCAAGCGAUGUUCCUCGAUCUCCCAUAGUACAUGCACUUGAUCAAUACUCCCCCCCCCCCAUCUGCGUCCCGCGCUGCGGCCUGUUUGACUUGAGCCUGAUCUUCUUCUGCACCAAGUGCUGGGCCGUCAUGAUCCUCUGGCUGCCUCUGAGCCUCUUGUGGACCGUGCGUGGCGUCAGGCGCGACUACACGCAGCUGAGCCCGGCGUGGGGAAGCCGCUUCGACGCCUACCUCUACUACCCGAACAUGAACUGGAUCUUCCAGAACUACCCAGCCGCCGUGGGCCCGUCCAUGGCAUCGUACAUCGCCCGCCAGCGCCACAGAUGCGAGGGCCAUCGCAGACGCCCAGUACCAACACGCGGUCGAAGUCAUCGACUUCAGCCCGCUCUUCGUGCUGGUCUUCUUCCUCUUUUGGGGUUGCGCUGUGGAAGUUCAUGGAGUAUUUGAUCCACCGCAUCGUCUUCCACUUCGAGAGCGCACCUCCCGAGCCGCUCUUCGACAAUCCGCUCUGCAAGCUGCUGCACCUCUUGCUCCACGGCAUUCACCACAUCACUCCGAUGGACACCCGACCGUCUUGUCUUCCCGCCGGUGCUGCUCGUCGUGGCCAGUACGCUCACCUACAACGGCUACGGCUACCCCGCGGCGAGGCAGCUGCCUCGAUAUCGUGGCCGGCGGUGUUGUGUGCGGCUACGGCCUGUACGACGACAUUCAUUACGUCAUCCACCACCGCGACCCCGCCAACUUCUACUUCAAGGACCUGAAGCGGUACCACCACGCGCACCACAACGUCGAUGACACCGGCGGCUGCGGCCUCGGCACCACGUUCUGAGACAUUUUCUAUGGCAAGGCGUGCCAGAAGAGCCAAGCGGGCGACACCGUGUCUCUCCGUGUGCAUGAACGGAGAAAGGGAGACGUCGCGGGGUAGGGGGGACGAGGAUCGGGGCGGGUGCCGUUGUUGCACGAAGCGAGCGAGCGACGCGACGCGGUUGUGGCCAACGGUGAAACGCUUCGCUCCUCUUCGUCCAGCGGCUGCUGUCACGUACAUGUGUGUGCCAGCCACCGGCCACACUCACCCUCAUCCGUGCAUGAAAAGCGGAGGGGGAGGAGGCGAGAGGGGCACGUCUGGCGUGCAACAGGUGUGCGCAUACUUGCAUGCAUGCCCAUGCCCAUGUAUCCUCAUGUGCGUGUGCCCAUACGAGCGCGAUACGUCUCCCUGCCUCUUCCACGUGUUCAACCAUCUUUUCGCUGCUCUCCUCCGUGCCCCCGGAGGACAGGGGAGGGCGCAUCCAUACAUGCGCUGAGACGUGCGUGACAUCGCAAGGCCCAGCGCACGCACACCCCACUGUGUCUGUCUGUGUGUGUGUGUGUGUGUGUGUGUGUGUGUGUGUGUGUGUGUGUGUGUGUCGAGGGGAAUGGGGGGGCUGAGUGGGCCCGUUUUUCUGUAACGCGCGUGCCCAUGGCCGGCAUCGCGCCAUGCGAGGGGGCCGGUGGGUCGAGUGGUGUUUGGGUUCUCGGUGUGUUGUGUGGCAGCGGGACGGUGUGGGCGAAGGUGGAAGGAAAAAGAGAGGCGGUGUUGCCCACGGCGCUUCCGCCCCGCACGCCUCUCCCCCACUCAUCCCCGCCUCCGCUUUAGUCAGCAUACUCUGCCCCUUCGUCCAUCGUCUCCCUCUUCUCGUCUUGUCGUGUCCGUGAGAUGAACCCGGCGAGAGAGCGACGCCCACGCCGUCGGACCGCAAACUUCUGAUGUAACCCAAAACACACACACACACGCGCGCGAGAAGUGAAGAGAUCGAGCGCACAAACAACAGUGUACAAUGGUGUCUCUCCCUCUUUCG